rnacentral:sRNA from 1 species
AUCCACUGCGCUAUGCGGUCUUUC